CUACGGGUUGCUGCAGUGGGGAAUAUUGGACAAUGGGCCACAAGCCUGAUCCAGCAAUUCUGUGUGCACGAUGAAGGUCUUCGGAUUGUAAAGUGCUUUCAGUUGGGAAGAAGAAAGUGACGGUACCAACAGAAGAAGCGACGGCUAAAUACGUGCCAGCAGCCGCGGUAAUACGUAUGUCGCAAGCGUUAUCCGGAUUUAUUGGGCGUAAAGCGCGUCUAGGCGGAAAAAUAAGUCUGAUGUUAAAAUGCGGGGCUCAACUCCGUAUUGCGUUGGAAACUGUUUUUCUAGAGUACUGGAGAGGUGGGCGGAACUACAAGUGUAGAGGUGAAAUUCGUAGAUAUUUGUAGGAAUGCCGAUGGAGAAGUCAGCUCACUGGACAGAUACUGACGCUAAAGCGCGAAAGCGUGGGGAGCAAACAGGAUUAGAUACCCGUGUAGUC
rnacentral:rRNA from 1 species